AAUUACCAAUUCUUGAAACAAAAGGUAAUUAAUGUUGUGUAUCAUAUUAGUUGGUUAGUUAGGGAUUCAUUCAUAAUUUCAUGAAUUCAUUAUUAAUUAAUAAAGUUGGUGCAGUUGAGAGAGAGAGAGAGAUGGAGAGAAUCGCUUCAAUACAGAACAGAACCCACGCACGAAGCCAUGAUCAGAUCAGGUAUCAAUUUCCUUGCUUCCGCUUUCGAUUCAUUUCAUUUCUAACUCAAAUAAAUCACCAACACCUUUUAUCUAUUUACAAUCUGCAUUUAGUAUCAGUUGGACAUUGCAUUUUGGGAUAUUGUAUCCGAUAAUGAUAUGUUAUACGGGACGAUCAAAGGUCCUCAUACCACAUACUGGGGCAAUUUUCAUGAGAUACUACUCCUUUGAUAUUUAUUUAACAUACAUCGAAUAAACUAUCAAUUUCACUUCAAUUUACUCCUUAAACUAUAUGUUCUGGACUUCCGGUACACCUAAAAAGUCUCACAUUGACGGAGCCGUCUGUUGGAAUCGAACCCCAGUAUUGAAUGAUAGUUUAUAUACAAUACUCACACUACUCAACCCAACAAGGUGCCUUUUAUAAAGGACAAAAUUGUGAGGGCUCACACACAAUGCCACAUAAACACGGUGUUGCGGACUUGAGGUCGAAACUUUGGCGCUAUCUAUGGGAACGAACUCACAAAGCUUCCAUAGCCUCAACCGGAGGUCAAUGGUAGUUUAUAUACAACACUCACACUUGUCAACCCACUGGUGCACCUUUUCAAGGACUACUUCGUGAGGACUUGCACACAAGAUUCAAUACGGACAAUAUUACCUCAGAAACACGGUGUUGCAAACUUGAGGUCGCAACACUAUGUAACUAUAACAAAUAGACCCUACAACUACAAUUAAUUAAGUAUAUAAAAUUCUUCAAUUUAGGGACUACUUAGUAUAUUUAUACAGUUUAGAGACUAAAUUGAAAAAUGACGAAAGUUUAGGACUAAAUCGAUUGUUUAUUCUGUAUCAUAUACUCGCAUUGUCUUUGUGUUAACUAUAUAAAAUAGUAAUAUGAACAUUUUUGUAUUAUCCUGUAUAGAAAGUGCAUUUGAUACUUGGGAAGAUGAACUACUUGGCUUGUGCAGUUUAUGAGCAUAUGCAUACAGUACGUUGCUCAAUAAUAUCUUUUUAUUGUUAACCGUCUUCAUGUACCAUUCUCAACAAGAUAAUUUCCAAGUAGCCUUUCAUUUUUCAUAUUAUUCGAAUAUAGUCUUUGAUAUGAAAAUUGACUUUUUGUAUAAUGUGCACAUCUGAGAUAAGGCCUAAUGUUGGAAAUCUAGUUGAACAUAUAUACGAAAAUUGACUUUUUGUGUAGUGUGUACAUCUGAGAUAAGUCUUAUACAAUGCACAAAUUUGUUUCCACCAUUUGAUCACCAUUUGAUAGAUAUGUCUCACCAUUAGAGGUAGAUACUGAAUAAAAGAAAUUGAGUCAUUGUAUAUAUUUCUUGCCGUCAACCCUUUGAAGUUUGAUCUGUAUCCGUAGGGGCUAGAGUGUGGUAAUAAGAGUAGUAUUGACUGUUAAUUGUUAAAUAACUUUUAGUUUUAAACAAUUUGCCUAUAGUUAAUGAUUUAUUGUGAUGCAGAUCAUUUAAAAGAAAAAUGGUUGAUUUUAUAAUUAAGCAUAGACCUUUAUGCAUGUAGGGAAGAGACCUAGUCCCAAGCUUAAAUAACAAGCUAAUUGGGUGAAUGCUCAUUUGUCCCAAAUGGCCACACACCAAGGACAAAUCGUUAGUUGGUAUUAACUUCUUUUCUUUAACUUGGUGAUUAACCUAACAUACCAAAAAUCUUACUUAUUAUAAUAUAAUAAUAUUGGUUGGUGGUUAAUUCAAUUUCCACUAAUAACUAAUUUCUCUACAAGCAGAUGUACACAAAAAUAAAAAUAAGUCAAAAGACGAUCAAUGAGUUUAAAGAAUAAUUAUAAUAUAAUUGAAUCAAAGAAUUGUUAAGUUAGAACAUGAAUGAAUAACAACUUAGAACAAUUUGCUAGCAAAUUCAUCAACUGUUGUUCCCUCUUCGCGAGAAUAAGCUGAUUUUCUAGCAAGAUCUCUUAAUUGUGAUAAACUUCUUCCCAAUUUCANNNNNNNNNNNNNNNNNNNNNNNNNNNNNNCUCUUUUUUCUUCAUCUUCCUCUAAUAUAUUCUCUUGAAUAGAAUUUUCCAUCAUUUGAAAGAAUCCACCACAGGUUCUAUACAUCUCUGCAACCAUACCAACUUGUCCACCAUGCUCAAAAGAAUUAACUGCUGUUGCUAAUGCUCCAGCCACAACUGGUACUAUAGAUGUCCAUGAACCUUGACCUACAAAUGUGGACCCCACAGCUGCAAUUCCAGUUAGUAAAGGCCCUGCAAUUGCCAAUGUCUUAUUAAUCUUCAACACCAAGUUUCCUAAUCUCUCAUAAUCUUCCAUGUCUUUUCUCUUCAUAACCUCUAAUACAUCUUUAAUUUCACCUUCUAAUCCUUCAUUCCAUCCAUUUUUCUUCCACCCCUUUUGUUUUGUUUCAUUAAUUUGAGAAAUCUUGUUGCUUCUAGAUGAUUUUUUCAUCGGCAACCAAUUAGCAGGUUCAUAUUUUUGAGGGAAUUUUUCAAUCAUAACCCCUAACAAAGGAAGUGGAUAAGCUUUAUCAAGUGCUAAAACAUUUGCAAUUGCAUCCUUUACAUAUUCCUUUGUUGGGUUUCGUAUUGCUAUUGUGGUUUCAAUGUUGGCCUUGAGCGAUUUAAAUAAUCUCGUUGCGUUUCUUUGCUCCUCAGCUAGUUGUGAAGGUUGGAUUUUGUUCAUGAUAAUUAACAUACCCGUUGAAGCUGAGAACAAAAGUGCUGAAGAUAAUUUAAGGGCUAAAAGAGGUGCGCCAGAGCCACUUAUGGCUGCGAUUCCUGCCAUGGCAGAGGCGGUGAGGGUGAUCAUGUUAAUCGAGUUUAACAAAAGGGUGUUCCAAUUAUCGCGUUGUUCACCAAUGUUUUGAUGCAUUUCUAUUCUAUCGGAUACCGAUUCUAGAAUUGCAUAGAGUUGAGUAAUGGUUUUAGUUUUUGAUGAUGAGGGGGAACUUUUUGGUGAAUAAUAAUCAUUUUCUUGGAUCAUAAUUGGGAUUGUGUGUGUGAAUUGGUCAUUUAAUUCCUCAAAUACCUUUGUACUUGGUCUUAUUUUUGGAGCUAUAGAUAGAGAGUUAGGAAGUUUGGGUACAUUAAAAGAGGAUUUGAUUCCAUCUGAAGAAGAUGAAGAAAGCAUAGAUGAAAUUUGUAAAGAAGCCAUGUGAUUAAGAUAUGAUGAAUUGUGUUAUGGUUUUUUGUUGAUUUGUUUGAUGGUUGAAUUAAGAAUUUGUGUGAUGGUUGUAAUAUAUAUAUAGGAAAAUUUGUGUGAACAUGAAGAGAAUGAGUCAGAUAAGGAAAAUGUUGACUAGGUGUUACAAGUUGACUUUUUUGGUUCUUUGUUUUUUCAUUAAAUUCAACUCUUACUGUUGUUCAAACAUUUUCAUCCCUUACUCGGCCGUAUGAAAAGGCUUUUCCUUGCUCAUGGUUAGUAUUUUAAUGAAUUUUUUCACACAUAAAAAUAUAGAUCAUUUUUUUUUGUUGCCAAAAAAAUAUAUAUAGAUUAUUUUAGUAAUAACAAAAACUGUUAUGGACGGCGCCCUUCAUUGUUGAUAUCGGAUGAUCAUGCUGCAGCGUUACGUGUUGUUUAACUGUUAGGAGCUGAAGAUGAUCCGAAGUGAGGGAAGGCCCAGUUGGGUUGGUUCUUUUGUGAAAAAAUUUAAGUGCAGUCUCGACUCCUCAAAUUUUACUACUAUUGUUUGAUUUUGAUUGACCUCUAAAUUUCAACCGCUCGAUUUUAACCUUUAAGUUUCACGAUUUCAACAGAGAAACUGUUAUGGACGGCGCCCUUUAUUGUUGAGAUUGGAUGAUCGUUGAGAGGCGUUACUAGUUGUUUAGCUGUUAGGAGCAAGAGAUGAUCCGAAGUAAAGGAUGACUCAGUUGGAUUGGUUCUUUUGUGAAAAUGUUUUAAAUGUAGUUUUGAUCCUUAAAUUUUACCGUUUUUAAUUUUAGUCAUUCAAAUUUCAAUUUUUCGAUUUUAACCCUUUUAAGUUUUACAAUUGCUCAAUCUCAUUCCAUCAAUCCAAACAUAUCCUUAAAAUCAUUUGAAAUUCCAAUCCAAUACCUUUUCUGUUUCACUUAUAACAAGGAUGAGCAUUUACCUUAGUACGUAGCGAGCUGAUCGAGUAGGGUGGAUGAAUUGGCGGGAGAUAUGGAGGAAGGGCGUGAAGGCACAGUCGUCAAUUGGANUAGUUAGUUAGUUAGUUAGGGAUUCAUUCAUACAUAAUUUGAUGAAUUCAUUGAUAAUUAACAAGGUUGGUGCAGUUGACGGACUGAGAAUCGAUUCAGAUCAGGUUUCAAUUUCCUUGCUUCCGCUUUCGAUUAAUUUCAUUUCAUCAAACACCUUUAUCGAUUUACAAUCUGCAUUUAGGAUCACCAGAUAUUGCUUGAUAUGAAAACGUUAUUUAACAUACAUCGAAUAAAUUAUCAAUCUCACUUCAAUUUACUCCUUUAACUUUGUGUUCUGACUUCCGGUACACCUAAAAUGUCCUGCAUUGACGGUGCCGUCUGUGGGAAUCGAACCCCGGUAUUGAAUGAUACUUUAUAUACAACACUCACUCACACUACUCAACCCAACAAGGUGCCUUUUAUAAAGGACAAAAUUGUGAGGGCUCACACACAAUACCAAAAACGAAUAAUAGCUCAGAAACGCGGUGUUGUGGACUUGAGGUCAAAACAUUGGCGCCAUCUAUGGGAACGAACCCACAAGCUUAUGUAGUCUCAGGCUGGAGAUCAAUGGUAGUUUGUAUAUAACACUCACACUUCUCAACCCACCAGUGCACCUUUCUAGGGACAAAUCCGUGAGGGCUUACGGACAAGAUUCAAUAUGGACAAUACCUCAGAAACACAAUGUUGCAGACUUGAGGUUGCAACACUAUGUAUCUACAAUUAAGUAUACAAAAUUCUUCAAUUUAGGGACUACUUGGAACAUUUAUACAGUUUAGAGACUAAAUUGAAAAAUUCUGAUAGUUUAGGACUAAAUUGAUCGUUUAUUCUGAAUGAUACUUGUACAGUCUUUGUGUUAACUAUAUAAAAUAGUAAUAUGAACAUUUUUGUAUUAUCCUAUUUAGAAGGUACAUUUGAUACUUGGAAAGAUGAAGUGGAUGACUACUUGGCUUGUGCAGUUUAGAGCAUAUGCAUCUAAAUGCAUAUAAGGUACGUUGCUCAAUAAUAUCUUUUUACUGUUAACUGUCUUUAUGUACCAUUCUCAACAAAAUAAAUUCCGAGUAACCUUUCAUUUUUCACAUUAUUCGAAUAUAGUCUCUGAUAUGAAAAUCGACUUUUUGUAUAAUGUGUACAUCUGAGAUGAGGCCUAAUGUUUAAAAUCUAGUUGAACAUAAAUACAAAAAUUGACUUUUUGUAUAAUGUGUAUGUACAUCUGAGAUAAGUCUUAUACACUGGCACAAACUUGUUUCCACCAUUUAAUCAAUAUGUCUCACCAUUAGAGGUAGAUACUAGAUAAAAGAAAUUGAAUCAUUGUGUGUAUUUCUAGCCGUCAACCCUUUGAAGUUUGAUCUGUAUCCAUAGUGGCUACUGGCUAGGGUAUGGCAAUAAGACUGUUGUAUUGAAUUUUUGGAAUAUCCCUCAUGCUCCACCUUCUUUUUUUAAGUGACCGUUAAAUAACUUAGUUCUAACCAAUUUGCCUAUAGUUAUAGUCAAAAUAUUCUAUCCAUCUCGUCUAAAAGUUAAUGAUUUAUUUUAUUCAAUGAUGAUACAUAUCAUUUAAAAGAAAAUUGGUUGAUUUUUAUAAUUAAGCAUAGACCUGUAUCCAUGUAGGGAAGAGGCCUAGUCCCAAGCUUAAAUAACAAGCUAAUUGGGUGAAUGCUCAUUUGUCCCAAAUGGCUCCACACCAAGGACAAAUCACUAGUUAGUUGGUAUUAAGUAUUAACUUGGUGAUUAACCUAACAUACAAAAAAUCUUACUUAUUAUAAUAUAAUAAUAUUGGUUGGUGGUUAAUUAAAUUUCCACUAAUAACUAAUUUCUCUACAAGCAGAUGUACACAAAAAUAAAAAUAAGUCAAAAGACGAUCAAUGAAUUUAAAGAAUAAUUAUAAUAUAAUUGAAUCAAAGAAUCGUUAAGUUAGAACAUGAAAGAAAAAAAGAAAAAAAAACUUAGAACAAUUUGCUAGCAAAUUCAUCAACUGUUGUUCCCUCUUCGCGAGAAUAAGCUGAUUUUCUAGCAAGAUCUCUUAAUUGUGACAAACUUCUUCCCAAUUUCAAAGCCAACUUAAUUUCAAACAACUCUCCAUUCUCUCUUUGUUCUUCAUCUUCCUCUAAUAUAUUCUCUUGAAUAGAAUUUUCCAUCAUUUGAAAGAAUCCACCACAGGUUCUAUACAUCUCAGCAACCAUACCAACUUGUCCACCAUGCUCAAAAGAAUUAACUGCUGUUGCCAAUGCUCCAGCCACAACUGGUACUAUAGAUGUCCAUGAACCUUGACCUACAAAAGUGGACCCCACUGCUGCAAUUCCAGUUAGUAAAGGCCCUGCAAUUGCCAAUGUCUUAUUAAUCUUCAACACCAAGUUUCCUAAUCUCUCAUAAUCUUCCAUGUCUUUUCUCUUCAUAACUUCUAAUACAUCUUUUAUUUCAGUUUCUAACCCUUCAUUCCAUCCAUUUUUCUUCCACCCCUUUUGUUUUGUUUCAUUAAUUUGAGAAAUCAUGUUGCUUCUAGUUGACUUUUUUGUAGGCAACCAAUUAGCAGGUUCAUACUUUUGAGGAAAUUUUUCAAUCAUAGCUCCUAACAAAGGCAGUGGAUAAGCUUUAUCAAGUGCUAAAACAUUUGCAAUUGCAUCCUUUACAUAUUCCUUUGUGGGAUUCCCUAUUGCUAUUGUGGUUUCGAUGUUGGACUUGAGCGAUUUAAAUAACCUCGUUGCGUUUCUUUGUUCCUCAGCAAGUUGUGAAGGUUGAAUUUUAUUCAUGAUAAUUAGCAUACCUGUUGAGGCUGUGAAUAAAAGUGCUGAAGAUAAUUUAAGUGCCAAAAGUGGCGCGCCGGAGCCACUUAUGGCUGCAAUACCUGCCAUGGCGGAUGCUGUAAGAGUGAUCAUGUUGAUCGAGUUUAACAAAAGGGUGUUCCAAUUAUUGCGUUGUUCACCAAUGUUUUGAUGCAUUUCUAUUCUAUCGGAUACCGAUUCUAGAAUUGCAUAGAGUUGAGUAAUGGUUUUUGUUUUUGAUGAUGAAGGAGAACUUUUAGGUGAAUAAUACUCAUUUUCUUGGAUCUUAACUGGAAUU
rnacentral:lncRNA from 1 species